rnacentral:rRNA from 1 species
UACGAAGGGAGCAAGUGUUAUUCGGAAUCAUUGGGCGUAAAGGGUGUGUAGGCGGUUAAUUAAGUUAGUUGUUAAAUUUCACUGCUUAACGGUGAGCAAGCAAUUAAAACUGAUAAGCUAGAGGGUGGAAGAGAGGAGUGGAAUUCUUGGAGUAGCGGUAAAAUGCGUAGAUCUCAAGAGGAACACCAAUUGCGAAGGCAGCUCCUUGGUCCAUACCUGACGCUGAAACACGAAAGCGUGGGGAGCAAACAGG